rnacentral:rRNA from 1 species
GUAACGGCGAGUGAAGCGGUAACAGCUCAAAUUUGAAAUCUGGCUCCUCGGGGCCCGAAUUGUAAUUUGUAGAAGAUGCUUUGGGUCUGGGCCUGGCCUAAGUUCCUUGGAACAGGACGUCGUAGAGGGUGAGAAUCCCGUAUGCGGCUGGCGCCCGUGCCCGUGUAAAGCUCUUUCAACGAGUCGAGUUGUUUGGGAAUGCAGCUCUAAAUGGGUGGUAAAUUUCAUCUAAAGCUAAAUAUUGGCCAGAGACCGAUAGCGCACAAGUAGAGUGAUCGAAAGAUGAAAAGCACUUUGGAAAGAGAGUUAAACAGUACGUGAAAUUGUUGAAAGGGAAGCGCUGGCAACCAGACUUGGGCGCUGUUGAUCCGCUAGGGUUCUCUCUAGGGCACUCGGCAGUGCGCAGGCCAGCAUCGGUUUGGGGGGUUGGAGAAUGGCUGGUGGAAUGUGGCUGUCUUUGGGCAGUGUUAUAGCCACCGGUGGCAUGCAGCCUCCCCGGACCGAGGACCGCGCUUCGGCUAGGAUGCUGGCGUAAUGGUUGUCAGCGACCCGUCUUGAAACACGGACCAAGGAGUCUAACAUCUAUGCGAGUGUUUGGGUGUUAAACCCAUACGCGGAAUGAAAGUGAACGUAGGUGAGAACCCGCAAGGGUGCAUCAUCGACCGAUCCUGAUGUCUUCGGAUGGAUUUGAGUAAGAGCAUAGCUGUUGGGACCCGAAAGAUGGUGAACUAUGCCUGAAUAGGGUGA